rnacentral:lncRNA from 1 species
AAUUUUUCAGAUGAAUUAGUGGGCAUGACAAGGACUAAAUCAGUUGAGGCUGAACUAGAUGAGAGUGAUAGAGCUUUAUUUUUUUUAAUUGUAAAGUUUUAAGAUUUUGGGAGCUAUUUUUAUAAGAAAAGUUUAUUUUAUGUUUCGGCUUCUUUUUAUUCUAUUUUACCUUUUAUUUUCUCAUGCACUGGGCACGGGGUUUCCACUGACCCACGGGUCCGGGGCGUGACAAGGGUUAAUCGUUUUAUUCGUUCUUGGACUUAGACCUGGUUUGCAUUUGAGUACCUCAAUUUCCAAAAUCGUUCUCAUAUUCCUUUAACUUCACUUUUGUUAGGACAAAUGGUCCAGCCAUUAAUUUUGUUAACUUUUUCUGUUAAAUGCAGGGGCAAAAUGGUAUUUUUAUAUUAAAACCAAAAGAAUAAAUAAAUAAUCACAUCUUUAAAAUAACAAUAAAAUCAAAUCAAAUAAAAAACCAACCAAAAAAAAAUCGAGUUUGGGAAGAGUAGAAAUCGGGAUAGAGGGGGAGAGAGAGAGUUUAAUUUUAAUUUUUUAUUCAUAUUUUAAUCAAUUUAAUACAAAAUGAGGAGAACUACCCCCCCUCUUCUUCUCUUUUUAUUCACUACAUGCCAUGUAAAGAGAAGAACUAAAUGAGGUUAGGUUAUUAAAAUUGGGUGAGCUAGGAUUCUAUUUUUUUUGGCUGGAAAAAAGAAGCCACCUGGGUUGCCAAACUAAAGGUACAUCCGUGGGUAAGCUAGGAUUUUAUUUUUUUUUGGCUUGAAAAAAGAAGCCACCUGGGCUAUAGCCCAGGUUUGCCAAACUAAAGGAAGGUCUGUGGGUGGGCUAGGAUUUUAUUUUUUUGGCUGGAAAAAAGAAGUAGGUUUGCCAAACUAAAGAUCCGUCUCUGUUUCCACUUCAACCCAUUUACAAUCAAACUAUUUUAUGACUAAAACACUUCACAUUAAUGAUAAUUUUAUUAAACUAAAACACAGUUUUAUGAGUCUACUUAUGGAGAAAAACUUAGUUGCAAUGAGAUAACACUAUUUUGCUAUCCUUAUUUCAUAAAAGUCUUUCUCCUACUUAUGACUAUGGUUGCAGCCUGCAAUAUUCUUAAAAUAAUAAAAAAAUAAAAAAAAUAAAAAAAGUAGCUAUUCUGAAGGACAUUACCUCACUUUUGCUGUAUAAAUACUCUGCAUUUGCAAGCACUGCAAUGCACACACAAAAGCUAAGAUGGAUUCCAGAGAAGUAGCAACUAAGCCACACGCUGUUUGCAUUCCAUUCCCUUAUCAAAGCCAUAUAAAGGCAAUGCUUAAAUUUGCAAAGCUCCUCCACCACAGAGGUUUUCAUAUAACCUUUGUUAACACAGAGUUCAAUCACAAGCGCUUUCUUAAAUCUCAAGGACCCAAUUCCCUUGUUGGCUUGCCUGAUUUUCAAUUCGAUGCCUUCCCGGAUAGCCUUCCGGAUUCAGAUGAAGAUGCCACACCAGAUGCCACCUUGCUUUGUGAAUCCAUCAGAAAAAAAAAAUUCUUGGCUCCCUUUCAUGCCCUCCUUGCAAAACUCAACAAUGAUGCCAUAUCAACAUCCCACAAUCCUCCUGUGACUUGCAUAGUUUCAGAUGGUUUCAUGUCCGCGUUCACAAUCACAGCUGCUGAAGAAAUCGGAGUCCCUAUAGCGCUGUUCUACACUAUAGCUGCCUGCAGCUUCAUGGGAUUUAAACAACUUCGCGCUGUGGUCGAAAAAGGACUUUUUCCACUCAAAGGUGAAUAACUACGAAUUAAAAGCAAUUGUUGUUUCUAAACAUGCAAAUGAAAUGUUUCUUCAAUUGAAUUUCAUUUGUCUAUUGCAGAUGAGAGCUGUUUCAAAAAUGGCUAUCUGGACACCGUAAUAGAUUGGAUCCCAGGAAUGAGAGAUAUCCGUUUAAGGGAUCUCCCGACCUUCGCGCGAAACACAAAUCUGGAUGACACCGGAUUUAACUUCAUCAUGGAAGAAACCGAAAGAGCUCAUGAAGCUUCAGCAGUUGUUCUUCAUACUUUUCAUGCCUUGGAGACAGAUGUUUUGGAAGCUCUCUCAUCUAUGCUUCCCCAUGUGUACACCGUUGGCCCUCUUCAAUUGCAUCUCAAUCAGAUACCAGAGCACCCUUUGAAAAUGGGAUACAGUCCAUGGAAAGAAGAAACUGAAUGCCUCGAGUGGCUAAACACCAAGGCACCAAACUCAGUUGUCUAUGUGAAUUUCGGCAGUGUAGCAGUCGUGACACCAGAACAGCUUGUGGAGUUUGGGUGGGGACUUGCAAAUAGCAAGCUUCCAUUCUUUUGGGUAAUUAGACCUGAUCUAGUUGUUGGAGAAUCAGCUAUUUUGCCGCCUGAGUUUGUGGCUGAAACUAAGGAAAGAAGUCUAAUAGCUGGGUGGUGCCCACAAGAGCAAGUCCUCAACCACCCCUCAGUUGGAGGAUUUUUAAUGCACAGCGGUUGGAAUUCAACAGUUGAGAGCCUUACUGCAGGAGUUCCUAUGCUCUGUUGGCCAUUCUUCGGGGACCAGCAAAUGGACUGUCGCUAUACUUGCAAUGAAUGGGGAAUUGGCAUGGAGAUUAGUGAUGAUGCGAAGAGGGAAGAGGUAGAGAAGCUUAUCAAAGAGUUAAUGGAGGGAGAGAAGGGUAAGAAGAUGAAAAAUAAGGUCAUGGAGUGGAAGAAACUUGCAGAAGAAGCUACUGGUCCACAUGGUUCUUCAUCCACAAACUUAGACAAUUUAGUGAAUCAAGUGCUAUUGAGAAAAAGUUAAGAUGUUUCCAUAAGAAUAUUGAUGUUAUUAAUUAUCAUUUCCAUUGCCAUUGUCUCAAAUAAUCAACUAUCUGGCAAUAUAUAUGUACUACUGGUCUGUAACCAUGAUGCGUACUAUAUCUAGAAUUUUAUUCUAAUUAAGGUUUUACUACGCUUCAGGCCUUCAACUCUAAAGUCUUUAUCAUUUUUCAGGCAAUUGUGCACUAACCAUGAUGCAUUAUAUUAAUAAUAUUUUAAAUCAAUAGAUUAAAAAUAUAAAGCUAUACCUUUUUCCACAAAUACCCCCGAGCUUAACGGGUUAACGGGUAUUCGUGAAUUGACACGACACGACACGAUAGCUUAACGGGUGACUAACGGAUCAAUACGAUAUCAACAUGACACCAUAACCCAUGCCUGAAUACUGAAUUUUUCGUGCGAAUUCAUGUCGUAUUAAUGGAUCGUGCACAAUAUUGUCUCCUCUAAACUUAGAUACUUUAGUCGAUUUAAGAAAAAACUAGAUGUUAUCCAUAACCAUAUCUCUAUUAUCACUGUUGAUAUCUCUAUUAUUACUCCAUAUAGCGUCCUUAUUCGUGUAUGAUGUCAUACGGAGCCUAAUAACAUGUUUUCUUGUUUUGUUCUAAAAAAGUUUUUUGAAAGAAGUAGAGACCAGUAAAUGAAAUUAAAAAAAAUUAAACCUCCAAUAAAUAUGGCCAUGGAAACAUGGUCUAACGCUAAAUAUAAAAUAAAAUAAGGGCAACUAAACUUGCCAUGGCCACAGACAUAGUGGCUUAAUAGUAAGUAAAUAAAAUUAACUUUGGAUAAACUGUGGUGAGGGAGUUGGAAUAGUACACAUUGAAAAGUAUCUCAGUUUUGCUUUAUAAAUAAUCUGCAUUUGCAAGCACUGCAAUGCACACACAAAAUCUCAGAUGGAUUCCACAGAAGUAGCUACUAAGCCACAUGCUGUUUGCAUUCCAUUCCCUGCUCAAAGCCAUAUAAAGGCAAUGCUUAAAUUUGCAAAGCUCCUCCACCAUAGAGGUUUUCAUAUAACCUUUGUUAACACACAGUUCAAUCACAAGCGCUUUCUUAAAACUCUAGGAUCCAAUUCCCUCGAUGGCUUGCCUGAUUUUCAAUUUGAAGCCAUCCCGGAUAGCCUUCCAGAUUCAAAUGAAGACACCACACAAGAUGUCGUUAAAAAAAUAAAGUUAGACCAUUUUCAACAAAGAAAUUAUGUGGAAGUUUCUUUAAAACCUUGUAUAAUUAUGUUGGAGAUAUUGACCUGAUGAUAAAGCAUAAUCUCUCAUUAAUACUUGAAUGCUUAAUCUGAAAGAAAGAAAAGAAAAGAAACAAGAAAACACAGACAAGGUUAAAGAAAAGACAAAAUCCAAAAGCUUACUUUGUUUCCUCGUCUUUCCAAAUCCAAAUCCAAAUCCAAACGCCACUCAAAUCAGUUAGGAAGUUUCUGAUUGUUUAUUUCAUUUCAUACUAGAUACAAAGAUAACAACAGCUUGAGUAAAAAAGAACAAAAUUGAUAUUUUAAAUUAGAUGCUCCAUUUCAAACCAUAGACACUCCUCUAACGUGAGCUUGAUGAUUAGGGACAAAACCACAUGAAUGUUAUUUCACCAUAAUGUUCGUUUUAGUCAUUGUACACAACUCACAACACUUUCACACAAAAAAUUAUUAUUGUACCAACAUCACUUUUAAUAAAAAGUUGUCAAAAGACAAACUGCUUUCUUUCACAACUGAUUUCUCUCACAGCAAAUCUGACUGUAAUUAUUUUCACAUCACAACAAUGCCAAACUAGCUUCGUUUUAGAUCCUUAUUUCAAUUCCUACUUGGUUUAGGAUUCCUAUUUUAAUCUUAUUUCCUACCCACUAUAAAUAAGGCUUUUAGGAAGUCACAUUAUUAUUUGUGGCUAGAGAGUGUCUAUGAGUGUGGUUACGAACCAAAUUACAAGUGAGUGUGAGGAAUUGGUAACAAUUCACUAUAGAAAUACAAGAGAAAAAAUAAUUUCAAACACUCCGAAGUUUUCUUUCUACUAACUAGCCAGGUGAUGUUGAGGGAUUAAGCCUUCUUCAAUUAUACACCAAGCGAAGAAGAACCAUUGCUAAAUGGAACAAGGAAAUUACAUAAUAUUACAAAUGAACUAAGCUCUAGUGAUCUCCAUGUGCCCAAAAAUCAAACCCGAUCCAAUGCAUCUUCGUGGUUUAAUGAAUAUGGCGCUUUGCUUGAAAAAGGACUUGCACACUCAAAUAUCUUUUAUAUGCAAAGAGCUUUCAUUGAGGGAUUACUUAAAUAAGUUAUUUGGGGGAAUAAGGCCAUGGAGUGGAAAACAAUUUGAAUCUUUAUUCUGAUUGCUUGAUAUAACGUUUAAUUGGUUUAAUUGUGAAAAAUACUGUAUACCCACUAAAAUAUCAUUUACUUGUUUGUUUGUUCUGGGCAUUAAAUUCUGUUGGGUAUCUUUGUUUUUAACGUAGGCUUUCCCUUCAAUUUAUUUGAUUCCUACAAGGAAAACUUUUGCAGAAGAAGCUACUGGUCCACAUGGUUCUUCAUCCACAAACUUAGACAAUUUAGUGAAGCAAGUGCUAUUGAGAAAAAGUUAAGAUGUUUCCAUAAGAAUAUUGAUGUUAUUAAUUAUCAUUUCCAUUGCCAUUGUCUCAAAUAAUCAACUAUCUGGCAAUAUAUAUGUACUACUGGUCUGUAACCAUGAUGCAUACCAUAUCUAGAAUUUUAUUCUGAUUAAGGUUUCACUACGCUUCAGGCCUUCAACUCUAAAAUCUUAUUGGAGAAUCGGUUAAUAUUUAAUUAUUUUUUUAUACGUAUUUCCUUUUUACUGUGUUCUAUACAUAUUUAAUUUGAUUACUACUCUCAAGGAAGAUUAUCCUUAAGUCUUAUAUUCAACAAAUUACUAUUCAUGUGUCAGUUGGUUUACAUUUAUUAUAUUAAAUCAAUACUCACCAAUUCUUUAAAGUGUGAGAUAAUUAGUCACAAAUAAUGGUGACUAGUAACCAAAGUCAUUGACCACCAUUCAAAUGUCACCAAAACUGUUUUGUUGCUAUAAAAAUGUGACUAAUGCUUUCUAUUUUGUCGCCGGAUCAAGGCCGUGAAGUUCUGGGUUAAACCGUGAGUUUUUGACGCCGAUUCCGACCACUUGCCGUCCGAAUUGGACUUGGGUGUAGUUGAAUAAAAUAUUCCACUCGUCGAGUAGAACCUGUAGCCGGGAGGGUGGCUUGUAGUUUGGAGAUUUUCCGGUGAAGCUUUAUCGCUUUGGACACCUGCGCAUGUGACGGCGCGUGGGCACUGUAGCAUAGGGGCAUUAUUAUCCCAAUGUGAUCUCCUGGUUGUCAUGAGUACGUAGGAAUUUGCGGAUCUCAAUUCGGAUGUCGUUCGACUAUCGAACGGAUUUUCGCAUAGUGUGCGUUAUCCGGGUUCGAUAGGUUCUGACCGUUGGAUCAUUUCCCAAUUAAAUUAUGUUGUUCUAGGUAUUCCUAGGAUCGUGUAGGACUUCACAGAUCAUGAAUCGGAGCUCGGAUGUUCCAAUUCAAUAACUUAAAGUUUGCGUUUUAUAUUAACCGUCCGAUCGUGCGAUCGUAAACGAUCUAACCGUCCGUUUCGGACCAAACUUGCGAGACGGGUAUCUUAGACCUUGUGGAACCUUUAGGAACUUACGGAUUGUAAAACGGAGGUCGUGGGUCCCAUGGACCCGGUUGACCUGAAUUUGGAAGUUUGACCGCCGGUUGACUGAGUGUCUCCCGAAGUUGUUCCAUCGUCCAAAUUGAGUAGUUGGACCUUAGAAUGUCUCAUUCCUAGUACACUUACUAGAAACCUAGGAAAUUAGGAUAUUUAAUUCAAAGUACUCGUUUGAAACGCUUCGUAUUAAUCUUGUGUACGUAUUCUGAAUUAGGUACUCCGACCACGCAUACGCAGCAGGCGGGACCCUCUCAGGGUCAAGUAGCGUGGGAUUACUUGUGAGUGGACUUUGUUUUCAAAUCUUAUGCAUGGUUUUAUUGAUGAAAGAUUUAUGCAUAAUGUUUUUAAUGAUUUAUUGAAUAUAUUAUAUUCAUGGGUUGAAUUUGAUGUCUGUAUAGCGCUUUGUCAAUAUAUUGUGGGUUUGGCAUUGUUGGGUAUUGAAAGUAUAUUUUAUAUGGAUUUUGAGAAAUAUUAUGCAUGAUGUUUUAAACGGUAUUUUGGAUAUAUUAUUUAUGAAAUUGUUGAAAGUGAUAUUUUUAUGAGGCAUUGAAAAUAUAUUUUGGGUUUUGACAUAUUUGAGUAUCUUGAGUAUGAAUAUAUGGAUUUUGAGGAUUUCUAUAUAUAUUUGGCUAUGUGUGAGGUACUGGGGUUGUUGAGAUGAGAUUGUGGAAAGUGGUGAGUAUAGAAUGUCAGUUUGGUGUGCUAUAAGCACUACCCUAUGUACCUCCCCUGAUUUGGAACUUGGAUACGGAGACUUGAGAUACUUGGAAUUGUCGGAACCCGGGGCAUCCUUGACGGGAUGUUGCUGUAGGCCCUUGAUUGGGUAGUCUGCGCGCGUAGGACUGAUCACAGACGUACGAAUUUUGAGGUUAUCGACGGUACGUACUGGCUGAGAGUUGGUCCCCCAGUUGGAUGGCUCGUUCCCUAAUCACAUGGUGGAUUGAGGACUCUUCAUGAGGACUCUGCCAGGGUGACUAGUCAAACAAUCCCCCGGUUGGAUUGUUUCCCGGUACAACUAGGUGAUGGUCAUAUUUAUAAUAUAUAUAUAUAUAUAUCUCUUAUAUUAUAUAUUUAUAUAUAUCUAUUCAUUCAUUCUUGUUUCUCGGUGUGGAUACUUCCUUGCCGGUCGUACCAAUGGGUACGCUUUCGAGAGUUUAGUUGUGAGAUUUAUAAGUUUUGGAUGGUGGGUUUUAUAAAGUGUUCUUUAUGGAUUUCGGACUUCGUAUCUGGUAUUGAUUUGUUUUGAUAUAUAUAUAUAUUAUAUAUAUAUAUAUACUUGAGUAUGUGGUUUUGCGAUGCAUGGGAUUUCUUGCAUGGUUUUCUAAACAGUGGGGUUAUAUUAUGUUGGUUUACACUGAACUGAAUUUAUUUUUUUCUAUUCACAAUUUUCUAUUUUGCGCCCCCCAGCCAGUAGUUGACUGAGCUCCGCAGCAGAGCCGGAUCAUGAGCUUCCGAGCCUUGAGUCUUCGUAGGACUCUUUCUUCAUGUUUUUCCCUUUGAACUCUGUUUUGUUGAAAUUGAAGUUCUUAGUCAUGCUCUGUUAUCGCCCCUGUUAGGGUUUGAUUUGUGAGGCUGGAGGCCAUUUUGUUGUAAAUUGUUUAUUCGCUUUAAAGCAUGCUGCUGGUUGGGAUUAUUCUAUGUUUAUGCAGGUUGAAUUUUUAUUGGGUUUGUUCAAUUUACAGGGGAGACUCUGCCAAAAUUUUGGUAGAGAGUCUGGGUUUUUAGUAAGUGGGCCCGACAUCGGGAUGAUGUCGGAACAAAGACGGGAUUCGCCCUGGUUUCCGGGAAUUCCGAGGCGGGUCCUGUCAGUGUAUUCAUAGCUGAAUUUCUAUCUUGUAUAAAAGAAAACUACUGCAAUUAUUAUUAUCCAAGUGAAUGAAAUCAGAGGAAAAUUCCAGAUUUACUUUUCUUUCUAAUUUUCUGAGCUAACGUUCUCAACAUCCAAACACACACAGUUCCAGAUUUCUCGUCAGAAAUUUCUUCAAAAUCUUAUCAAUUAACAUUUUCCAAAAAGUUUACUAAUUAUACAUAUAACCGAUUUUCUUCUGUUUCUUUUUCCUUUAUAGCGAACGAAGGCAAUUUGUACUAGGGCCCCUUCUAGCACUGAGAACAAAAACAAACUCAUACCAAAUUGUUAAUUAGUUCAUUACAAAUCUUGUUCAAAGAUACGGGUCAUUAAUUUUAGGAAUUCUUAUGAUUUUUACGAUAAUACAAACAAGGGUUGUGAGAGUCCGUUUCUUAAAUGUUGGCUAUAGAAAAAUAAAUGAUAUUAUAUAUUCUUGGUAAGAAGGAAACGUAUAUUUAUAAUUGUUUUACGUAUAUAAUACAACUUCAAUAUUUAUAUGUAUAUUAUUUCAUUAAAUAUUUAUAUGUAUAUUAUAUUUAUAUAUACAUAUGUUCUUUUGAAUAAAAAGGGUUAAAUUAUAUAUUUGUUCAUUGUUUCUUGAGAUGCCAUUAGAUGGUUAUUGGAUGCUUUAUAUACAUAUAUAUUAAUAACAUGGAUUAAGAGUUUAGACGUGGCAUCCUUACAUUGUUUUCUUGGAGAGAAAGACUAUUUCUCUCUUAUCUUAAUUAGGAUGCCGGAUGUGGCUUUUUCCAUUAAAUUAGUUGAUGCAUUACCAUGCAUUUGCACAGCUCAUGCUUACAAUUUGGUGAGUAAGCUUUAUCUUAGCUUCAAUAGGUGUCACAGCCUUUGGAAAUAAAUCUCCUAGCGUUGACACAUAGCAACUUAUAAAAUAGAGUGGCAACCAAGUUAUCUUUUCGUAUAAAUAAGAUAAUGUCCUUUGUUAUUAUCCUCUCCAUUGUUACGCCAUCUCACCACCAAUAAAUAGAAGUUUUAAUGGAAGGAAGAGAUAUCAGGCAAAGGGUAAAGAGAGAGGGAGAGAGAGAUGAUGAUGAUGAAAUUCUUAGAAGAGAUAUAGGUAUGAUGAUGAAAUUCUUAGAAGAGAUAUAGGACUUAGCUUGUAUUUUCUUAACUUGGAGAAAUGCUUUGGAGUCGAGGUAGGAGUUUCUUGGUGACCUUUUAUAAAGAUUGAUUUUCUUGGUGACCUUUUAUAAAGAUUGAUCUAAUUAAAUUUCGUGAGCACUAUAUCAUGCAUGAUAUUAUUAUUUGAUUAUUAUUGAUAUUGGGUGUUUAAGUGUUGUUAAUUAUCAUAUUAUUUUAUUAAUAUUGACAUGAUCAUAUGUUAUCGGUAAUGGCUGGAAUUCUUGGGUUGAUAAAGAAAGUAUGGAAAAUGGGGUAAUAGGAAGGAUCUUUUGUGUAGUUGAGUCUAACUCUUGGCAGGUACCAGGUCUCAGGGAUCCCGCAGCGCACAUGGUUUUUAUUGGGUGAUUCAGGACUGGCGACAGGGAGUUAGACAAGAUGACUAACGAAAGGGGAAUUAUGGGAUGAUUGAAAUGGGUGUUAGUUCAUACAAAUGGGCAUUCGGGACCAAGUGGUAUAAGCAUGGUAUGGGACGUGCAAAUCUGCUUGUCCAGUUAUAUGAAUUAACAAGAGUAGAUGAAGAGCAUUCAUUCAUGCAUUAUUAUUAAUAAUGUGAUAUUUGGCUGUGUGAUUGCAUGUCACUUAAUUUAGUUAUAUCAAUCUACUGCGGUAAGGUCUCAUGUCCCUACUGAGCGGUGGUUGUUCAUUCCUCACUCUGUUUAAUUUUUCAGAUGAAUUAGUAGGCAAGACAAAGACUAAACCAGUUGAGGCUGAAUUAGAUGAGAGUGAUAGAGCUUUAUUUUUUUAAUUUUAAAGUUGUAAGAUUUUGGGAGCUAUUUUUAUAAGAAAAGUUUAUUUUAUGUUUCAACUUCCUGUUAUUCUAUUUUACUUUUUAUUUUCUCAUGCAUUGGGCACGGGGUUUCCACUGACCCCCAGAUCCGAGGCGUGACAGAAUGGUAUAAGAGCUUCAGGGAUUAAAUACCCUUGGGAACUGUGGUAUAGUAUUACCACAAAGUAAAUUUGAAUUGGUGAAGUAAGUUAGUGACCUAACUUUUCAGGAGCAUGUUUCUUUUAUGAUUAAGUGUAGUUUACGUAAUAAUUGUUUAGUAUUGUUUUAUAUAUGUUGGUUUAAUUUGGUAGAAAUAUUUGGUAAAGGUUCAAUUGUUAAGAUAGCUAGAGUAGAUGGGCAACGUGACAAUGAUAAGAAUGGUAGCAUGAGGGUAAUACUAACCAUUCAGGAUAUGGCCUUUGCAAUACGUGAAACGAAUCAACAAAACCAAGAACCCCAUCAAGAAAUUCAAGGUGGUCAAACAAUGAGUGUUAAAGGAGAAAGAUGAAUGAACAAAGAGUUCUAGGAAAUCUGAAAGUGGCUAUUGCUUCUACCUAUUUGGGAGGAGCAAGGAGACCAGAAUAACUCACUCAAGGAUAUGUGUAUUCUAUUGGACAAGUGACAAAGCAAAAUGAACCUACUAUGGUAGAAGGUACAUUUCUAGUUUACAACUCAUAGGCUAAGAUAUUGUUUGACCCCGGUGCUACAAAUUCAUUCAUCUCUAUUUCGUUUGCGUUUAUUCUUGGAUUAGAAUAUGAAUUUAUGAAAUCUUCAUUAAUGGUUGGUUCUCCAUUGGGUAAAUGUGUCGAAGUUAAUAAGGUGUGUAGAUCUUGCAUAAUAGAGAUAUCAUAUCAUAAACUUGUUGUUGACCUAAUGAUAUUGGAAUUAAUGGAGUAUGAUGUAAUAUAAGGGAUGGACUUGACCCAAUUUAAAGCUAUUUUUGAUUGUGGUAGAAAGAUGGUGACUAUGACUCUUAGCGAGGGAAAACAUGUAGUUUCUAUGGAAGUAGGAAUACUCACAUCAAUCUUGGAUAAUGGAAAUUGUAAUUAUUUGAGAUUGAUUGCUCACAUGGUCACUGAGGAUCUAAGUAAUACCAAGCUUGAGCUUAUCCCAAUAGUGAAAGAUUUCGGUGAUGUUUUCCCAGAAGAAUUAUAUGGAAUCCCCCUAGAAAUGGAGUUUUUCUAUAGAUAUUUAUCCUGGUAUGUCGCCUAUAUCUAUACCUCCACAUUGAAUGGCACCAGCAGAGUUGAAGGAACUCAAAACACAACUUCAAGAACUUGAAAGUAAAGGUUUUAUUCGUCCUAGUACCUUACCAUGGGGGUUUUUUCUCCAUUCUUUGCGAAGAAAAGUGAUGGAAGUCUUAGGAUGUGUUUUGUUGCAAGCUAACAAAGUAGUUGCAUACGACUUUUGUCAAUUGAAAUGACAUGAAAAGAAUUAUCUAACACAUGAUCUAGAAUUGGCAACCAUUGUUCACACACUGAAGAUAUGGAGAUAUUAUUUGUAUGGGGAACGUUUUGAACUCUUUUUAGAUCAUAAGAGUUUGAAGUAUUUAUUGACUUAGAAGGAGUUGAAUUUAAGACAAAAGCAAUGGAUGGAAUACCUAGAAGAUUAUGAUUUUGACUUACAUUAUCAUCCAGGAAAGGCUAAUGUGGUAACAAAUGCUUAAGUCAAAAUCCUCAAGGAAUUGUAGCAAGUUUGUAUGAUCAAAGGUGGAAGAUGGUGGAGUCUCUUUACGAUUUUGACCUAUAUAUAGGUGCGCAUGAGGAUUGUGCAUAUCUAUGUAAUUUGGUAACUCACCCCACUUUGAUUGAAAGAAUAAUUGAGGCACAGGAUUUGGAUUCUAUGUCUGAAGACAUUCGAACUAAGAUUACAACUAGAAAGACACAGGAAGGAUGGAGUAUCCUCACAAGCAGUGGAUUAAGAUAUUUGAAUAAGUUAUAUGUACCAAAUAUUUCUGAUAUAAGAAAUGAAGUUCUCAGAGAAAGUCAUCAUUCACCUAUACAAUUCAUCCUAGAGGGACAAAGAUGUAUCGUGAUUUUAGACGUAAUUUUUGGUGGAGUAAUAUGAAGGGAGGUGUGGAAAUAUUUGUAGCAAAAUGUCUAACAUGUUAGCUGGUGAAAACUGAAUAUCAGAAAUCGUCAAGUCCAUUACAGCCAUUACCAGUAGUAGAAUGGAAAUGAGAUCAUAUAACAAUGAAUUUUGUUACAGGUUUACCUAAAUAUCCAAAAGGACGUGAUGCAAUAUGGAUUAUGGUGGAUCGUUUGACCAAAUUUGCACAUUUCAUACCAGUCAAAUCAAUGGAUUCCACUAAAAAUCUUGGAAAGCUUUACGUUAGAGAUAUAGUAAGAUUACAUGGAAUUCCUAUUUUGAUUGUAUCGGAUAGAGAUUCCAAGUUUACUUCUAAAAUUUGGGGAAGCUUACAGAAAGUGUUAGGUACGCAACUAAAUUUGGCACUGCCUUUUAUCCCCAAACUUAUGGACAAUUGGAGAGAACUAUUCAAAUUUUAGAGGACUUGUUGAGAGCAUGUAUUCUAGAUUUGGAGGGAAGUUGGGAAGAUCAUUUAGUGGUAGUAGAGUUUGCCUACAACAACUAUCAGUCUAGCAUUCAGAUACCACCUUAUGAAGCUCUAUAUUGAAGACCUUGUCAAUCACCUGUGUGUUGGACUGAAGUAGGAGAAACUGUAUUGCUAGGACCUGAUUUGGUACAAGAGACAACUGAAGGCAUUAAAGUUAUCAAGCAACGUCUUUUAACUGCUCAAAGUUGACAAAAGAACUAUGUAGACCGAAGAAGGAAAACAUUAAGUAUUGACGUGGGUGAUAAUGUAUUUCUUAAACUCUCACUACUAAGUGGAGUAAAAAAAGGUUUGGGAAGACUGGAAAAUUAUCACCAAAGUUUGUUGGACCAUUUGAAAUCUUAGAAAGGAUGGGUGAAGUAGCUUAUAAGUCAGCAUUACCACCUCAAUUGUCGAAUGUACAUGAUGUUUUCCUUGUUUCUAUGCUUCGAAAGUAUGAGCCUGAUUCAACCCAUUUUCUAGAUUGAGGAGAGCUCAAUUUAGAUGAGGAACUGUCAUUUGAAGAAAGACCAACUCAGAUUUUGGAUUCUAAGGAACAAGUGUGACGUACGAAAAUAAUACCAUUGGUCAAAAUUCUUUGGGUACAUGGGAAUACAUUGGAAGUUACAUGGGAAUUAGAAACUGAAAUGUAUAAGAAGUACCCAUAAAUUUUUCCCUUAUUCCAGUAAGUUUUUCUUUUUAAAUUUUGAGGACAAAAUUUCUUUAAGGAGAGUAGAUUGUGAGAGUCUGUUUCUUAAAUGUUCAUUAAAGAAAAAUAAAUGUUAUUAUAUAUUCUUAAGUAAUUAUCCUGCUAAGAAGGAAAUGUAUAUUUAUAAUUGUUUUACGUUUAUAAUACCAUUUCAAUAGUUAUGUGUAUAUUAUUUCAUUAAAUAUUUAUAUAUACAUAUGUUCUUUUGAAUAAAAAGGGUUAAAUUAUAUAUUUGUUCAUUAUUUCUUGGGAUGCCAUUAGAUGGUUAUUGGGUGCUUUAUAUACAUAUAUAUAUUAAUAACAUGGAUUAACAGUUUAGACCUGGCAUCCUUACAUUGUUUUCUUGGAGAGAAAGACUGUUUCUCUCUUAUCUUAAUUUGGAUGCUGGAUGUGGUUUUUUCCAUUAAAUUAGUUGAUGCAUUACCAUGCAUUUGGACAGCUCAUGCUUACAAUUUGGUGAAUAAGUCUAUCUUAGCUUGAGGUGGAGUUUAUAAUUUCAAUAGGUGUCACAGCCUUUGGAAAUAAAUCUCCUGGCGUUGACACAUACAUAGCAACUUAUAAAAAAGAGUGGCGACCAAGUUAUCUUUUUGUAUAGAUAAGAUAAUGGGCUUUGUUAUUAUCCUCUCCACUGUUACCGCCAUCUCACCACCUAUAAAUAGGAGUGUUAAUGAAAGGAACAUAUAUCAUGCAACAUGAGAGAGAGAGAUAUGAUGAUGAUGAUGAAAUUCUUCGAAGAGAUUUAGACUUAACUUGUAUUUUCUUAACUUGGAGAUAUGCUUUGGAAUCGAGGUAGGAGUUUUUUGGUGACCUUUUACAAAGAUUGAUCUAAUUAAAUUUUGUGAGCACUAUAUUAUGCAUGAUAUUAUUAUUUGAUUAUUAUUGAUAUUGAGUGUUUAAGUGUUAUUAAUUAUCAUCAUAUUAUUUUAUUCAUAUUGACAUGAUCAUAUGUUAUCGGUGAUGGCUGGAAUUCUUGGGUUGAUAAAGAAAGUAAGAAAAAGGGGGUAAUGGGAAGGAUCUUUUGUGUAGUUGAGUCUAACUCUUGGCAGGUACCAGGUCUCAAGGAUCCCGCAGUGCACAUGGUUUUCAUUGGGUGAUUCGGGACUAGUGACAGGGAGUUAGACAAGAUGACUAACGAAAGGGGAAUUAUGAGAAGAUUGAAAUGGGUGUUAGUUCAUAUAAAUGGGCAUUUGGGGCCAAGUGGUAUAAGCAUGGUAUGGGACGUGCAGGUCUGCUUGUGCAGUUAUAUGAAUUAACAGGAGUAGAUGAAGAGUAUUCAUUCAUGCAUUAUUAUUAAUAAUGUGAUAUUUAGCUGUAUGAUUACAUGUCACUUAAUUUAGUUAUAUCAAUCUACUGUGGUGAGGUCUCAUGUCCCUACUGAGUGGUGGUUUCUCAUCCCUCACCCUGUUUAAUUUUUCAGAUGAAUUAGUGGGCAUGACAAGGACUAAACCAGUUGAGGCUGAACUAGAUGAGAGUGAUAGAGCUUUAUUUUUUUUAAUUCUAAAGUUUUAAGAUUUUGGGAGCUAUUUUUAUAAGAAAAGUUUAUUUUAUGUUUCGGCUUCUUUUUAUUCUAUUUUACCUUUUAUUUUCUCAUGCACUGGGCACGGGGUUUCCACUAAGCCCCGGGUCUGGGGCGUGACAAGGGUUAAUCGUUUUAUUCGUACUUGAACUUAGACCCGGUUUGCAUUUGAGUACCUCAAUUUCCAAAAUCGUUAUCAUAUUCCUUUAACUUCACUUUUGUUAGGACAAAUGGUCCUGCCAUUAAUUUUGUUAACUUUUUCUGUUAAAUGCAGGGGCAAAAUGGUAUUUUUAUAUUAAAACCAAAAGAAUAAAUAAAUAAUCACAUCUUUAAAAUAACAAUAAAAUCAAAUCAAAU